UGUACUGUGGUCAGCAGUUGUCUGGACUCUCAAGGGCCUGUUGUGCACAUGGAGGUUUUUCUGGGUCAGCCCAUAUUGUGCUCUAAAAUCUGCACCAUUAACACAGCAUGCAGCUGACACUGACCAUAAAUUACCAUCCAAACUGUCCCCAGCUGUCCAGGAUGUCAAGCAUCUGGCAAGGACAGAUGUAAAUGCAGACUCAGAGAAGAAGGUCAAACCAGAAAACUGUGUUAAGCCUGAACGCACAAGUGGCCUGUUCAAGAGACUGCUAAAGGCUGAGGGGGAGAUUCAAGAACUGAAGAUAGAGAUUGAAAAUCAGAGAGCAUCAUGGGAGAUGCGGUUUGUGGAGCUGUAAAAGAGACAACAUAAUCUAA